CGGGAUGUGGCGCAGUGUGGUAGCGCGCAUCGUUCGGGACGAUGAGGCCGCAGGUUCGAACCCUGUCAUCCCGACCA
rnacentral:tRNA from 1 species